rnacentral:rRNA from 1 species
UGGGGAAUAUUGCACAAUGGGCGAAAGCCUGAUGCAGCAACGCCGCGUGAGGGACGACGGCCUUCGGGUUGUAAACCUCUUUUAGCAAGGAAGAAGCGAAAGUGACGGUACUUGCAGAAAAAGCGCCGGCUAACUACGUGCCAGCAGCCGCGGUAAUACGUAGGGCGCAAGCGUUAUCCGGAAUUAUUGGGCGUAAAGAGCUCGUAGGCGGUUUGUCGCGUCUGCUGUGAAAACCCGAGGCUCAACCUCGGGCCUGCAGUGGGUACGGGCAGACUAGAGUGCGGUAAGGGAGAUUGGAACUCCUGGUGUAGCGGUGGAAUGCGCAGAUAUCAGGAAGAACACCGAUGGCGAAGGCAGAUCUCUGGGCCGUAACUGACGCUGAGGAGCGAAAGGGUGGGGAGCAAACAGGCUUAGAUACCCUGGUAGUCCACCCGUAAACGUUGGGAACUAGUUGUGGGUCCAUUCCACGGAUUCCGUGACGCAGCUAACGCAUUAAGUUCCCCGCCUGGGGAGUACGGCCGCAAGGCUAAAACUUGAAAGGAAUUGACGGGGUCAUAGCUGUUUCCU